UACGAAGGGGGCUAGCGUUGCUCGGAAUUACUGGGCGUAAAGGGCGCGUAGGCGGCCUUCUAAGUCGGACGUGAAAUCCCUCGGCUUAACCGAGGAACUGCGUCCGAUACUGAAAGGCUUGAAUCCGGGAGAGGGAUGUGGAAUUCCAGGUGUAGCGGUGAAAUGCGUAGAUAUCUGGAGGAACACCGGUGGCGAAGGCGGCAUCCUGGACCGGUAUUGACGCUGAGGCGCGAAAGCUAGGGGAGCAAACGGGG
rnacentral:rRNA from 1 species